UACGGAGGGUGCAAACGUUGCUCGGAAUCAUUGGGCGUAAAGCGCACGUAGGCGGACCGCUAAGUCGGAUGUGAAAGCCCUCGGCUUAACCGAGGAAGUGCAUUCGAAACUGACAGUCUUGAGUAUGGAAGAGGGUCGCGGAAUUCCCGGUGUAGAGGUGAAAUUCGUAGAUAUCGGGAGGAACACCAGUGGCGAAGGCGGCGACCUGGGCCAAUACUGACGCUGAGGUGCGAAAGCGUGGGGAGCAAACGGG
rnacentral:rRNA from 1 species